rnacentral:lncRNA from 1 species
AGUUCAGCAAGAAUAUGUGGUGUUUCUUACGGAGCCUCAGCAUCAGACAAAGGCGUAGAUCUGUCACUCAGCUGCACGACAGCUAUGAGACAAACAGCACACCUCCAGUUUAUUAAUUCAAACUGGCAAAAUGAGCUAAUUCCUUCCCUAACCGUAGGCAUCCAGAAAAGAGAUGAUGUGCAAUCCCAGAUUCCCAGGAACUGGAAGGAGGCCAUCCCGGGAGGGAGGGAGUGUAUCUCUCCAUUGACGCCUCUCCCCCACCCCCAAUGUGGGCAAACUGGUUGAAACAAACACUGAGGGUAAAGACAUCUUGAAAAGGAAAUUUGCUGAGAAGUAUGGGCCAAGGCUUCUGCAUCCUGCUGUCUGGGAGGGAGCGAGGUGGUGGCAGCCAACAGGGUGUGUCAGUUCAAAGGCAUAGAGCAGAGCUUCAGCACUGGGGGAAAUUGAACUUAUUAACGUAUUCCACUGCACACAUUGGAAAGCCCACAAGACGAUUUGCAUGCCUAAUGACUGUGCAAACAUCUGAAUCCCGUCUUUCGUGUGAUCUUGUGCUAUUUUGCUGGCAGUUUCACAAUAGUGACCAACUUAGGGACCGCAGAGAGAAGCUAGAUAUCUCUGCCAGAGAAAACGCAUUCCUGAACCUGACAUCUGGGCCUUGCAGCUGGAGAGAAGAAGACAAAAAAGAAAAAAUCCUGAGUGUCAUCAAAGGCAGUUGAUGGUGCCAA